rnacentral:rRNA from 1 species
AUGAGUGAAGUAUAAACCCCUUUACGAGUAUCAAUUGGAGGGCAAGUCUGGUGCCAGCAGCCGCGGUAAUUCCAGCUCCAAUAGCGUAUAUUAAAGUUGUUGCAGUUAAAAAGCUCGUAGUUGGAUUUCUGUUGUAUAAUUUAUAAUAUUACCAAGGUAAUUAUUAUAUUAUCAACAUCCUUCCUAUUAUAUUCUAAAUAUAUAGGAAAUUUUACUUUGAGAAAAUUAGAGUGCUUAAAGCAGGCAACUGCCUUGAAUACUCCAGCAUGGAAUAAUAAGUAAGGACUUUUGUCUUUCUUAUUGGUUCUAGGACAAAAGUAAUGGUUAAUAGGGACAGUUGGGGGCAUUCGUAUUUAACAGCCAGAGGUGAAAUUCUUAGAUUUGUUAAAGACGAACUACUGCGAAAGCAUUUGCCAAGGAUGUUUUCAUUAAUCAAGAACGAAAGUUAGGGGAUCGAAGACGAUCAGAUACCGUCGUAGU